rnacentral:rRNA from 1 species
CCUACGGGUGGCAGCAGUGAGGAAUAUUGGUCAAUGGACGAAAGUCUGAACCAGCCAAGUAGCGUGAAGGAUGACGGCCCUAGGGGUUGUAAACUUCUUUUAUAUGGGAGUAAAAUGUUCCACGUGUGGGAUUUUGUAUGUACCAAAUGAAUAAGGCUCGGCUAACUCCGUGCCAGCAGCCGCGGUAAUACGGAGGAUCCGAGCGUUAUCCGGAGUUAUUGGGUUUAAAGGGAGCGUAGGUGGAUUGUUAAGUCAGUUGUGAAAGUUUGCGGCUCAACCGUAAAAUUGCAGUUGAAACUGGCAGGCUUGAGUACAGUAGAGGUGGGCGGAAUUAGUGGUGUAGCGGUGAAAUGCUUAGAUAUCACGAAGAACUCCGAUUGCGAAGGCAGUUCACUGGACUGCAACUGACACUGAGGCUCGAAAGUGUGGGUAUCAAACAGGAUUAGAUACCCUUGUAGUC